GAUGAACGCUGGCGGCGUGCCUAAUACAUGCAAGUCGAGCGAACGGACGAGAAGCUUGCUUCUCUGAUGUUAGCGGCGGACGGGUGAGUAACACGUGGAUAACCUACCUAUAAGACUGGGAUAACUUCGGGAAACCGGAGCUAAUACCGGAUAAUAUUUUGAACCGCAUGGUUCAAAAGUGAAAGACGGUCUUGCUGUCACUUAUAGAUGGAUCCGCGCUGCAUUAGCUAGUUGGUAAGGUAACGGCUUACCAAGGCAACGAUGCAUAGCCGACCUGAGAGGGUGAUCGGCCACACUGGAACUGAGACACGGUCCAGACUCCUACGGGAGGCAGCAGUAGGGAAUCUUCCGCAAUGGGCGAAAGCCUGACGGAGCAACGCCGCGUGAGUGAUGAAGGUCUUCGGAUCGUAAAACUCUGUUAUUAGGGAAGAACAUAUGUGUAAGUAACUGUGCACAUCUUGACGGUACCUAAUCAGAAAGCCACGGCUAACUACGUGCCAGCAGCCGCGGUAAUACGUAGGUGGCAAGCGUUAUCCGGAAUUACUGGGCGUAAAGCGCGCGUAGGCGGUUUUUUAAGUCUGAUGUGAAAGCCCACGGCUCAUCCGUGGAGGGUCAUUGGAAACUGGAAAACUUGAGUGCAGAAGAGGAAAGUGGAAUUCCAUGUGUAGCGGUGAAAUGCGCAGAGAUAUGGAGGAACACCAGUGGCGAAGGCGACUUUCUGGUCUGUAACUGACGCUGAUGUGCGAAAGCGUGGGGAUCAAACAGGAUUAGAUACCCUGGUAGUCCACGCCGUAAACGAUGAGUGCUAAGUGUUAGGGGGUUUCCGCCCCUUAGUGCUGCAGCUAACGCAUUAAGCACUCCGCCUGGGGAGUACGACCGCAAGGUUGAAACUCAAAGGAAUUGACGGGGACCCGCACAAGCGGUGGAGCAUGUGGUUUAAUUCGAAGCAACGCGAAGAACCUUACCAAAUCUUGACAUCCUUUGACAACUCUAGAGAUAGAGCCUUCCCCUUCGGGGGACAAAGUGACAGGUGGUGCAUGGUUGUCGUCAGCUCGUGUCGUGAGAUGUUGGGUUAAGUCCCGCAACGAGCGCAACCCUUAAGCUUAGUUGCCAUCAUUAAGUUGGGCACUCUAAGUUGACUGCCGGUGACAAACCGGAGGAAGGUGGGGAUGACGUCAAAUCAUCAUGCCCCUUAUGAUUUGGGCUACACACGUGCUACAAUGGACAAUACAAAGGGCAGCGAAACCGCGAGGUCAAGCAAAUCCCAUAAAGUUGUUCUCAGUUCGGAUUGUAGUCUGCAACUCGACUACGUGAAGCUGGAAUCGCUAGUAAUCGUAGAUCAGCAUGCUACGGUGAAUACGUUCCCGGGUCU
rnacentral:rRNA from 1 species